rnacentral:rRNA from 1 species
UACAGAGGUCUCAAGCGUUGUUCGGAUUCAUUGGGCGUAAAGGGUGUGUAGGUGGCGCCGUAAGUCGGGUGUGAAAUUUCGGAGCUUAACUCCGAAACUGCAUUCGAUACUGCGGUGCUUGAGGACUGGAGAGGAGACUGGAAUUCAUGGUGUAGCAGUGAAAUGCGUAGAUAUCAGGAGGAAUACCGAUGGCGAAGGCAGGUCUCUGGGCUGACACUGACGCUCAUGCACGAAAGCGUGGGGAGCAAACAGG